AUAACUGCCUUACACAGGCUAUUUUAUGUUUGUGUCUAAACUAUUAAAAAAACCUUCACACAAAUAGUCUCUUCCCAUCUAUUAAGAGACAACAAAUGCAGUAUGCAAGAGUGCACUCUGUUAUGAGACUUCCUUCUGGUGCCACUCUGUCUGAGCAUAGUUUUUGUGCAUCAGAAGACUCUGAUAAAGCUACAUCUUCUUAUGAUAUGCUUCUACAGUCACUUCUGUGUGUAUGUUCAGUUGCUGCAAACCUCAGGAACAGUCUCAGGAUGACUAUAAUAUGUGACUCUGCAAUAGCUAAAAAUAGUUAUCAGAUAAAGUUUUACAAAUCAAACUAGCCCAAACUUGUUGAUAUUUUUUUUCUUUUUUUUUUCCAAACAGCAUGUAGCAGCUCACUCUUCCUCCUUUUAAAAAAAAGCACUGAAGAAACAUUAAGAUUUUUACUGCCUUCUGCUAAAGCAAACCAUACACCUGAAAAUCCCUUAUUUCGGUCACAGUUGCGGAGAGAACUCCUUAAAACUGGCGUGAGAAUAUGCAGGUGUCUAGAGAAGAUGUCUCUGAUCACCUCCAUGGAAGAGAGAAUUUACAGCAUCUUCUGCAUAACUGGCAAUACCUGAGCCUGCAAACCGCAGCAUUUCCUCUAGUGGGAAGGAUAAGGCUCUCUCUUGCAUCAGAUGCUCACACCUUCCUGUUUGCACAAAGAGGAGGGUCUAAUGAGGAGGUUGCUGAGGAUGAAACACAGAUUUGAAUGCUGCUCCAAGGAUAAAUAAUAUUCUGCAUAAAACAUGUCUAAAGCCCACAGAAAUACUGUUAUGUAUGGAUCUAGUCCAUUCUUCUCAUUAAAGUUGAACAGAUCAAACGGACUUGAAGUAUCAGCGAGACUGCUCCAGAGAUUUUCCAUGGGAGAUGCACUGUAUGAACGACAUCAAUCACUUCAGUAACAAUUAUCAGAGCUAAUCCUUGUCCAGCUCUUGAUGGGUGGUGGGUUUCAAGAAAUGGGGUUCUUCUGUAUGUGUGUUGGACAGGACUGAGGUUCCUCCAGACAGGCAGACACUGUGGGGCUUCCUCCCCCAGAGAACAAUUAUCCAAGGAAAGGGUGGGAUUGUCUCACCAGGCCCUGGACACUCACACUCUGGAUCUACAUCAGAGCUAGCCAUCCCAGGCAACUUGGAUAUGGGCAAUGAUGAGAAACAGGAAUGUAUAGGAUUACUUAUCUGAGAGUUUAACAGUGAAUAAGACUUCCUUUUGAUAUAUAUAUACAUUUGCAUAAUUUGUAUUGAAAUUGUUUUCUAAAAUAAACAAAUAAAGUCCUUCACAUGCAUUAUCUCCAGUAGUAGCAACUCAUGAUGCAUGCUCCCAUGAGGCACCAAGGAGUGCGAUCUGCCCUCAGUGUUAAUUCUUUCACACCUUGCCCCAAAGAUGAUGGUUUUCAUUGUAAGCAGGUGAUUCCUCAAGCUAGGGCUAUUUAUUAUAUUGCUUCAUAUGCAGAAACAUCUGAGAUUUUUAUAUUAAAUGUGGCUGCAGAACAGACUCA